rnacentral:rRNA from 1 species
AGUCGAACGGCAGCGCGGGGCAACCUGGCGGCGAGUGGCGAACGGGUGAGUAAUAUAUCGGAACGUACCCAAGAGUGGGGGAUAACGUAGCGAAAGUUACGCUAAUACCGCAUACGAUCUAAGGAUGAAAGUGGGGGAUCUUCGGACCUCAUGCUCCUGGAGCGGCCGAUAUCUGAUUAGCUAGUUGGUGAGGUAAAGGCUCACCAAGGCGACGAUCAGUAGCUGGUCUGAGAGGACGACCAGCCACACUGGAACUGAGACACGGUCCAGACUCCUACGGGAGGCAGCAGUGGGGAAUUUUGGACAAUGGGCGCAAGCCUGAUCCAGCAAUGCCGCGUGAGUGAAGAAGGCCUUCGGGUUGUAAAGCUCUUUUGUCAGGGAAGAAACGGCCUGGGUUAAUACCUUGGGCUAAUGACGGUACCUGAAGAAUAAGCACCGGCUAACUACGUGCCAGCAGCCGCGGUAAUACGUAGGGUGCAAGCGUUAAUCGGAAUUACUGGGCGUAAAGCGUGCGCAGGCGGUUUUGUAAGUCUGUCGUGAAAUCCCCGGGCUCAACCUGGGAAUUGCGAUGAAGACUGCAAGGCUAGAAUCUGGCAGAGGGGGGUAGAAUUCCACGUGUAGCAGUGAAAUGCGUAGAGAUGUGGAGGAACACCGAUGGCGAAGGCAGCCCCCUGGGUCAAGAUUGACGCUCAUGCACGAAAGCGUGGGGAGCAAACAGGAUUAGAUACCCUGGUAGUCCACGCCCUAAACGAUGUCUACUAGUUGUCGGGUCUUAAUUGACUUGGUAACGCAGCUAACGCGUGAAGUAGACCGCCUGGGGAGUACGGUCGCAAGAUUAAAACUCAAAGGAAUUGAC